CCUUUUUAGGGAGACCUAACCCAUGAAAGACUGAAAAUAUACUAAGUCCUAAUGAGGUCAUCCCAGGUCGUUCGAGAUUGGUAAAGGCUUUCAAAGUAUUAUUGCUUCGGUUUGUGAACUAAGUUAGCAAAGAGCUAAAGUAUUUAGCAACUAACAACAAGUUAGACUGCUGGGUAAGAGCCAGCCAGAACCUUGAAAACUGCAUAAGUAACGCGAUAAAAGCAGGCAGACACAGACAUUAAAGAAAUGAAUGUGGAUGCAAGUGAAAAAGCCAAAGUCAAGUGGUCAAGCU
rnacentral:misc_RNA from 1 species